rnacentral:rRNA from 1 species
GGGCCCGCACAAGCGGUGGAGCAUGUGGUUUAAUUCGAUGCAACGCGAAGAACCUUACCUACACUUGACAUGCUGAGAAGUUACUAGAGAUAGUUUCGUGCCUUCGGGAACUCAGACACAGGUGCUGCAUGGCUGUCGUCAGCUCGUGUCGUGAGAUGUUGGGUUAAGUCCCGCAACGAGCGCAACCCUUGUCCUUAGUUACCAGCGGGUUAAGCCGGGAACUCUAAGGAUACUGCCAGUGACAAACUGGAGGAAGGCGGGGACGACGUCAAGUCAUCAUGGCCCUUACGACCAGGGCUACACACGUGCUACAAUGGGCGGUACAGAGGGCAGCGAAGUCGCGAGGCCGAGCAAAUCCCUUAAAACCGUUCGUAGUCCGGAUUGGAGUCUGCAACUCGACUCCAUGAAGUCGGAAUCGCUAGUAAUCG